rnacentral:rRNA from 1 species
UACGAAGGGGGCUAGCGUUGCUCGGAAUUACUGGGCGUAAAGCGCACGUAGGCGGUCUUUUAAGUCGGUGGUGAAAUCCUGGAGCUCAACUCCAGAACUGCCUUCGAUACUGGAAGACUUGAGUCCGGGAGAGGUGAGUGGAACUGCGAGUGUAGAGGUGAAAUUCGUAGAUAUUCGCAAGAACACCAGUGGCGAAGGCGGCUCACUGGCCCGGUACUGACGCUGAGACGCGAAAGCGUGGGGAGCGAACAGG